UGGGGAAUUUUGGACAAUGGGCGCAAGCCUGAUCCAGCCAUGCCGCGUGCAGGAUGAAGGCCCUCGGGUUGUAAACUGCUUUUGUACGGAACGAAAAGCCUCUUUCUUAUAAAGAGGGGUGAUGACGGUACCGUAAGAAUAAGCACCGGCUAACUACGUGCCAGCAGCCGCGGUAAUACGUAGGGUGCGAGCGUUAAUCGGAAUUACUGGGCGUAAAGCGUGCGCAGGCGGUCUUGCAAGACAGUGGUGAAAUCCCCGAGCUCAACCUGGGACCUGCCAUUGUGACUGCAAGGCUGGAGUGCGGCAGAGGGGGAUGGAAUUCCGCGUGUAGCAGUGAAAUGCGUAGAUAUGCGGAGGAACACCGAGGGCGAAGGCAAUCCCCUAGGCCUGCACUGACGCUCAUGCACGAA
rnacentral:rRNA from 1 species